UACGGAGGAUGCAAGCGUUAUCCGGAAUGAUUGGGCGUAAAGCGUCCGCAGGUGGCUGUGUAAGUCUGCUGUUAAAGAGUGAGGCUCAACCUCAUAAAGGCAGUGGAAACUACAUGGCUAGAGUGCGUUCGGGGCAGAGGGAAUUCCUGGUGUAGCGGUGAAAUGCGUAGAGAUCAGGAAGAACACCGGUGGCGAAAGCGCUCUGCUAGGCCGCAACUGACACUCAUGGACGAAAGCUAGGGGAGCGAAUGGG
rnacentral:rRNA from 1 species